UGAAUACGAGAUGCUACGGCGUCGAAGCAGUCUAUGUCAGACUUCCAAGAAAAGCUUGCACUGUCAAAAACAAAUAAUGCCUGUACCAUAACCGACACAGGUGGGUAGGUAGAGUAUACUAAGGGGCGCGAGAUAACUCUCUCUAAGGAACUCGGCAAAAUGACUCCGUAACUUCGGGAGAAGGAGUGCCUUAUUUUAAGGUUGCAAUAACAAGAUCCAAGCAACUGUUUACCAAAAACACAGGUCUCCGCGAAGUCGUAAGACGAUGUAUGGGGGCUGACGCCUGCCCAGUGCCAGAAGGUUAAAGAAGUUGGUUAGCAUUCGCGAAGCUGAUAACUGAAGCCCUGGUGAACGGCGGCCGUAACGAUAACGGUCCUAAGGUAGCGAAAUUCCUUGUCGGGUAAGUUCCGACCCGCACGAAAGGCGUAAUGAUUUGGAUACUGUCUCGGAGAGGGGCUCGGUGAAAUAGACUUGUCUGUGAAGAUGCGGACUACCUGCACCUGGACAGAAAGACCCUAUGAAGCUUUACUGUAACUUGAAAUUGAAAUUGGACUUUAUUUGCGCAGUAUAGGUGGGAGGCCUUGAGAAGAAUCUUGCGGGAUUCUUGGAGCCAUCAGUGAGAUACCACUCUUGUAAUGUUAGAUUUCUAACUUUGUAUCAUUCUCUGGUCAAAGAACAGUUUCAGGCGGGCAGUUUGACUGGGGCGGUUCCCUCCUAAAGAGUAACGGAGGAGUUCAAAGGUCACCUCAGCACGGUCAGCAAUCGUGCGUCGAGCGCAAUGGUAUAUAGGUGGCUUAACUGCGAGACCUACAAGUCGAGCAGAUGCGAAAGCAGGACAUAGUGAUCCGGUGGUUGCUAGUGGUAGCGCCAUCGCUCAUCGGACAAAAGGUACUCCGGGGAUAACAAGCUGAUCGCUGCCGAGAGUUCACAUCGACGCAGCGGUUUGGCACCUCGAUGUCGGCUCAUCGCAUCCUGGGGCUGGAGAAGGUCCCAAGGGUUUGGCUGUUCGCCAAUUAAAGCGGUACGCGAGCUGGGUUCAGAGCGUCGUAAGACAGUUCGGUCCUUAUCCACUGUGGGCGUAGGAGAUUUGAGGAGAACAUUCCCUAGUACGAGAGGACCGGGAAUGACGUACCUCAGGUGUUCCUGUUGUCGUGCCAACGGCAUCGCAGGGUAGCUAUGUACGGAACGGAUAAGCGCUGAAAGCAUCUAAGCGCCAAGCCUCCUCCAAGACUAGAUCUCCCUGGACCUUCGGGUCCCUGAAGGCCGGUCGAAGACCACGACCUUGAUAGGCUGGGUGUGUACGCACAGCGAUGUGUUUAGCUUACCAGUACUAAUCAGCCGUGAGGCUUAACCU
rnacentral:rRNA from 1 species